CCCUACGGGGUGCCGUUUUACCCGGAUGAGAACCCGAACCGGACGUGGGAGCUGGAGCGUCACGGGAAGGAUUCGCCGGUGACGGAUGGCGGCCAGGCGGCACUGAAGCUGACGCUCAAGGACGGGGAGCCGGUGCGGUUUGCGACGUACAACUUCGCGGGGACGGGCCAGAGCUGGUACGAGGUGCUCAAGCCGGGACAGGAAUAUGCAAUGGAGGGGUGGGUGAAGCAGGAGGGGAUGGCGGACCCGAGCUUCAAGGUUUCGCUGACGGGAGACUACGGGGCGACGAUGGCGCCGGUGACGUUCAGGGCGGAGGGGGAAUGGAGGAAAGACACGGGGACGUUCACGCCCAAGAAGCGCUACGAGGGGGCCGGCGGGAGGGC
rnacentral:rRNA from 1 species